CGGUAAUUCCAGCUCCAAUAGCGUAUACUAAAGUUGUUGCAGUUAAAAAGCUCGUAGUUGGAUUUCUGCGGGGACGGAGCGGCCGGACGCAACUCGCGUCUCGAGCUAGCGCUUUCCCCGCAUCCUGCCGCGAACCGUGCUACCAUUAGUUUGGUGGCGCUGGGGAUCGGCUCGAUUACUUUGAGAAAAAUAGAGUGUUCAAAGCAGGCCACACGCCUUGAAUAAGUUAGCAUGGAAUAAUGACUAAGGACUUCGGUUCUAUUUUGUUGGUGUUCGGGACUGAAGUAAUGAUUGAUAGGGACAGUUGGGGCGGUCUGUAUUCCAAAGCGAGAGGUGAAAUUCUUAGACCUUCGGAAGACAAACAGCUGCGAAAGCGUUCCGCAAGGAUGUUCCCUUUGAUCAAGAACGAAAGUUGGGGGAUCGAAGACGAUCAGAUACCGUCGUAGUCUCAACUAUAAACUAUACCAGCUAGGGAUCGGCCAACGUUUAAUUAUUCGACUUGGUCGGCACCUUAUGAGAAAUCAAAGCAUCUGGGUUCCGGGGGGAGUAUGGUCGCAAGGCUGAAACUUAAAGGAAUUGACGGAAGGGCACCACCAGCCGUGGAGCCUGUGGCUUAAUUUGACUCAACACGGGAAAACUACCAGGUCCAGACAUAGGAAGGAUUGACAGAUUGAUAGCUCUUUCUUGAUUCUGUGGGUGGUGGUGCAUGGCCGUUUUUAGUUGGUGGAGUGAUUUGUCUGCUUAAUUGCGUUAACGAACGAGACCCCAGCCUGCUAAAUAGCGCGGCCGAGCUUUGCUCGGUGCGAGCUUCUUAGAGGGACCAUGAUGCGCGAUAGCACAAGGAAGUUUGGGGCAACAACAGGUCUGUGAUGCCCUUAGAUGUUCUGGGCCGCACACGGGCUACACUGGCGCCUGCAACGAGCAUAUCAGCUGGCCCGAGAGGGUCUUGGCUAAUCUUUUGAACCGGCGCCGUGCUUGGGAUUGACCUUUGCAAUUGUUGGUCAUGCAACGAGGAAUGCCUUGUAAACGCGAGUCAUCAGCUCGCAUUGAAUACGUCCCUGCCCUUUGUACACACCGCCCGUCGCUCCUACCGAUGAAUGUUCCGAUGAAAUUUUCGGAGAGCGCCAGAGAACGGGGCUCUGCCUUGCAGAUCUGGAGGCUCAAAGUCACUUAAAUCUGAACAUUUCGAGGAAGGAGAAGUCGUAACAAGGUAGCCG
rnacentral:rRNA from 1 species